GUACGUCCUUCAGGCCCAGCUGGGAGGCUCAGCUGGCACUGGGGCCUGCAUGCCGGGCCUGUCUGCUGUCUGGUCUUCGUUUUUGGUUCUCUUCAUUUGGUUUAUAAAUUUGAGUUAAUAUUUGGAGCCAUUUUCUCAACCCAAUACAGCUUUGCUCCCAUGACCUCCUUCGUACUCUUAUUGGUAUUCCAGCGACAUAUUCUUUCAGUUUUGUUAAUCUGG
rnacentral:lncRNA from 10 species